AAGAAAAAGAAAAACAAAAAAAACGGGCUGUUUUUUUUGCAUGGGAUCUUUUUUUUUUUUUUUUUUUUCAAAAAAAAAAAGGAAAAAAUCAAAGAUUAU
rnacentral:ribozyme from 13 species